GAUGAACGCUAGCUACAGGCUUAACACAUGCAAGUCGAGGGGCAGCAUCAUCAAAGCUUGCUUUGAUGGAUGGCGACCGGCGCACGGGUGAGUAACACGUAUCCAACCUGCCGACAACACUGGGAUAGCCUUUCGAAAGAAAGAUUAAUACCGGAUGGCAUAGUUUUCCCGCAUGGGAUAAUUAUUAAAGAAUUUCGGUUGUCGAUGGGGAUGCGUUCCAUUAGGCAGUUGGCGGGGUAACGGCCCACCAAACCUACGAUGGAUAGGGGUUCUGAGAGGAAGGUCCCCCACAUUGGAACUGAGACACGGUCCAAACUCCUACGGGAGGCAGCAGUGAGGAAUAUUGGUCAAAUGGACGAGAGUCUGAACCAGCCAAGUAGCGUGAAGGAUGACUGCCCUAUGGGUUGUAAACUUCUUUAUAGGGGAAUAAAGUGGAGGACGUGUCCUUUUUGUAUGUACCCUAUGAAUAAGCAUCGGCUAACUCCGUGCCAGCAGCCG
rnacentral:rRNA from 1 species